rnacentral:rRNA from 1 species
UACGUAGGGUGCGAGCGUUACUCGGAAUUACUGGGCGUAAAGCGUGCGUAGGUGGUUCGUUGUGUCUGUGGUGAAAGCCCCGGGCUCAACCUGGGAAUUGCAUUCGAGACUGCAUUGCUGGAGUACGGAAGAGGAAGGCGGAAUUCCCGGUGUAGCGGUGAAAUGCGUAGAUAUCGGGAGGAACAUCAGUGGCGAAGGCGGCCUUCUGGUCCAGUACUGACACUCAAGUGCGAAAGCGUGGGGAGCAAACAGG